rnacentral:rRNA from 1 species
AUGCAAUUCAAGAAUAGAUGGGAGAAUCUCAAAACUAUGUAUUGUCAACGGAAACAACUGCAAAUUGAUGCAUCUGGACUUGGAUGGAAUGCUAAGCUAGGAACCAUUGAUGCUGAUACUGAUUGGUGGAACACUCACCUAAUAAAAAACCCGGAGCAUGCAAAGUAUAGGAAUGGAGGACCACCUAACUUGGCUGAAAUGGACCUCAUGUUUGAUGACCGUCAUGACACCGGUGCCGAGUCAGCUAUCCCCGGUGAGAUGCCAUUGGACAAGGAGGAUGUUAGUGAUGACACUGAUAGUGCAGAGGAUGAUGAUGAAGUCAUCAAAGCAAAACCAAAGAAGCAGCGAAAAACCAAGUCAUGUAAAGAUGAUUUUUCUGCUCAAGAUGAGAAGAACCCAUUUGUUCGGAUGUACAAGAAGGCUAGUGAUGCGAUAUGUGUAACGGCUGAAAGUAUAAGAGAAGCAUCUAGCUCCAGCAUGGCCCGUCCUCCCCCUCCUCUGGUUGCUCCUCCCCCUCCUCCGGUUGGCCCUAGUAUGAAUGAGGCAAUGGAGAUGGUUCGUGAAUGUGGAGUUGAGGAAGGAACUCCUCUCUUUUUCUCUUCAAGCAUGCUAUUUAUGAAGGCUGAGUAUCGGGAAAUGUUUGCAUCGGUUCAGACCAAGGAAGGAAGGUUUGAUUGGCUCAAGAGAGCGCAUGAUCUUCGGCUU